CGUAAAGCGCAUGCAGGCGGUUUGUUAAGUCAGAUGUGAAAGCCCGGGGCUCAACCUCGGAACCGCAUUUGAAACUGGCAGGCUAGAGUCUUGUAGAGGGGGGUAGAAUUUCAGGUGUAGCGGUGAAAUGCGUAGAGAUCUGAAGGAAUACCAGUGGCGAAGGCGGCCCCCUGGACAAAGACUGACGCUCAGAUGCGAAAGCGUGGGUAGCAAACAGGAUUAGAUACCCUGGUAGUCCACGCCGUAAACGCUGUCUACUUGGAGGUUGAGGUUUAAGACUUUGGCUUUCGGCGCUAACGCAUUAAGUAGACCGCCUGGGGAGUACGGCCGCAAGGUUAAAACUCAAAUGAAUUGACGGGGGCCCGCACAAGCGGUGGAGCAUGUGGUUUAAUUCGAUGCAACGCGAAGAACCUUACCUACUCUUGACAUCCAGCGAAUCCUUUAGAGAUAGAGGAGUGCCUUCGGGAGCGCUGAGACAGGUGCUGCAUGGCUGUCGUCAGCUCGUGUUGUGAAAUGUUGGGUUAAGUCCCGCAACGAGCGCAACCCUUAUCCUUGUUUGCCAGCACGUAAUGGUGGGAACUCCAGGGAGACUGCCGGUGAUAAACCGGAGGAAGGUGGGGACGACGUCAAGUCAUCAUGGCCCUUACGAGUAGGGCUACACACGUGCUACAAUGGCAGAUACAGAGGGCAGCGAAGCUGCGAAGUGGAGCGAAUCCCUUAAAGUCUGUCGUAGUCCGGAUUGGAGUCUGCAACUCGACUCCAUGAAGUCGGAAUCGCUAGUAAUCGUGGAUCAGAAUGCCACGGUGAAUACGUUCCCGGGCCUUGUACACACCGCCCGUCACACCAUGGGAGUGGGCUGCACCAGAAGUAGAUAGCUUAACCUUCGGGAGGGCGUUUACC
rnacentral:rRNA from 1 species